rnacentral:rRNA from 1 species
GACGAACGCUGGCGGCGUGCCUAAUACAUGCAAGUCGAGCGCAGGAAGCCGUCUGAACCCUUCGGGGGGACGACGGUGGAAUGAGCGGCGGACGGGUGAGUAACACGUAAAGAACCUGCCCAUAGGUCUGGGAUAACCACGAGAAAUCGGGGCUAAUACCGGAUGUGUCAUCGGACCGCAUGGUCCGCUGAUGAAAGGCGCUCCGGCGUCGCCCAUGGAUGGCUUUGCGGUGCAUUAGCUAGUUGGUGGGGUAACGGCCCACCAAGGCGACGAUGCAUAGCCGACCUGAGAGGGUGAUCGGCCACACUGGGACUGAGACACGGCCCAGACUCCUACGGGAGGCAGCAGUAGGGAAUCUUCCACAAUGGACGAAAGUCUGAUGGAGCAACGCCGCGUGAACGAUGAAGGCCCUCGGGUCGUAAAGUUCUGUUGUAAGGGAAGAACAAGUGCCGCAGGCAAUGGCGGCACCUUGACGGUACCUUGCGAGAAAGCCACGGCUUACUACGUGCCAGCCGCCGCCGUAA